GUUACGUGAUCCAGUGUUUUUCAGGGAUUCUGUAGGAAACUUGCCUUCAGUAAAGGAUUUAUAAAGGUUAUAGGAGAUAAGGCAAAGCUAUUUGAUCUCUUUUAAAAAAUCAAAGCUGGAAUUUCUGUGUUGUGGGAAUGAGAGAUAGAGGAAGAGAGGGAAGGAGGCCACAGCCCAUCUUGUGGUUGGUUCUCUCUGUUCCCACCUUUCCACCUGGUCUUUUAUGCUAGCUUCUUUUCCCUCCAAUCCAUCCUUCAUGUGGCAAUUACAACGACUGUCCUCAAGCACAAUUCUCAAGUACCUGGGACUUCCCAGGUGGCGCAACGGUAAAGAAUCCACCUGCCAAUGAAGGAGAUGCAAGAGAUGAGGAUUCGAUCCCUGGGUCGAGAUGAUCCCCUGGAGUAGAAAUAGCAACCCACUCCAGUAUUCUUGCCUGGAAGACUCCAUGGACAGAGGAGACUGUCAGGCUACAGUCCAUGGGGUCACAAAGAGUCUGACGUGACUGAGCGCACAUACCACAUUCUUGUCUCAAUACCAACAAUGUCAGUACUUUGCUAAAAACAAAAACUCAAACACAAAGAGUCUGGAUUCUUAUAGGAAAAACAAAGUGCUAAUUACUUAACAGGACAGGGCUUUCUGGGAUAAGGCUCCAGCCCAUCUGUUUAGCCUCACUUUCUAAUUCUCCAGCUACGGGAAAUCCAACUACACAAUGUCUUCCCUAAUUGCACAGAAGAGGUUGCCAUUGUCAUGAAAGGUAAAUAAGUUCAAAUACAUAAAUUGCUUUCAACAGCCCCAAGUGCAUAAGUUCUUAAUGAGCAUAAGUUGUUGUUUUUAACAUUUCUGAGUGUUUUCUUUCCUGGUAGCCUAAGUACUCACCACCUCAUCUCUUUUGGAUAAAAUGCUACUUCUUCAAUAAAGCCCAGUUCCAAUGUUGCCUUCAAAGGCUAAGCAAUCUUUUCUAAUUGCUGAGUUGGAAUCGCUCUUCAUUUCGUCCACCUAUACCUCUAUAUAUCUCAUGUGGCACUUAAAACACUCUACUGAACAGUGGCAGGAUGAAUAGAGAAUUUUCUCCAUACACACAAUCUUUGUAUGGGGCAAGAUUUGAGGAUCAUGAAAUAUCUAAAUGAAGCUGAUGCCACUGGUUCAAGCAGCCAUGAAGACCAUUCUGAGAUACUGUGCUCGUCCUUGUAUUGUGAACUGGAAGGAGCCAGAUGAGAAUUAGAGAAACAAUACCAUAACAAUUACUUGAUUAAGAAUAAGGUUGAAGUCAGCCUGAAAGGAAGGAAAGGCUUUUCUCACAAUGAACCUGUGCUCUGCUCAGAAACAAACACUGUGGUGAAGUGUGCUUGCUCUUAAAUAAUUCAUCAGGAAAUUAGAUGAUUCCUAAUUUUCUGCCUCAAUGAUGGAAAAAUUGACUCUCUUUCUCUUAGCCCACAAAAGAGCUCAGCUCAUCUACCAGCCCCUUUGGAGUCACCAAAAUUGAGGUAGAACCAAGUUUUUGACCCAAACCUGAAGUCUAAAGUUUUACAACACAAAAUAAUUUCUGUCUUGAUGGGGAGUGGGAGUGGGGGACACCGAAACCACCAGAGGAUGCCUGGGAAGAGGGAAGAGUCAUUCUAACCCUUGUGAGGCCCUCCUCAUGAGUGUGGUCCAAGGAGAUGAGUUAAUCAGAUUUAAUUACAAUUAAUCAAUUAAUCACAAUUCCCAGCCCUCUUUGCCAUUGCUCCAUGGAAUCUAUUCAAUCCUUCAGUUAAAAAAAAAAAAAUAGUGAAUUUCCCUUUUAGUUCAUUUUAUGUCAGGUCUGAAGAGGAAUGCAAGAAGUGACCAGUAUCUAGCCCCUGACCAACCUAUAGGCUCCCACUGAGUUGAAUUAAGGCAGCACUCAUGACCUACCUGGUUUCAGAUUUUUCAGUGAAUCCACGAUCCACACAGAAAGAGCCGUGAAUAAACACGUCUUCAGCUUUCUUUUUCAGUUUAUUUUCCAUUAUAGGUUAUUACAAGAUAUUGACUAUUAAUUACCUGUGUUAUACAGUGAAUCGUUGUUGCUUAUCUAUUAUAUGUCUAGUAGUUUGUAUCUAUUAAUGCCGUAUUUCUUAUUUAUCCCUCCUACUGCUCCCUUUCUCCUUUGAUAAACAUAAGUUUGCUUUCUAUCUCUGUGAAUCUGUUUUGUAUAUAGAUACACCUGUAUUAUUUUUUAGAUUCCACAUUUAAGUAAUAUCAUAUAGUAUUUCCUUUUCUCUGCCUGACUUACUUCACUUAAUACAAUAUUCUCUAGGUCCAGCCAUGCCACUGCAAAUGUUAUUAUUUCAUUCUUUCUAUAGCUCACAGGUAUUCCACUGUGUGUGUGUGUGGGUGUGUACAAAUUGGAAUAUAUCCAUUCAUCUGUCAAGGGGCAUUUAGGUUGCUUCCAUGUCUUGGCUAUUAUAAGUGGUGCUAUGAGCAUUCAGUUCAGUUCAGAUCAGUCGCUCAGUCGUGUCCGACUCUUUGCAACCCCAUGAAUCACAGCAGGCCAGGCCUCCCUGUCCAUCACCAACUCCUUUUCCUAUUUGGAAUCAGUCUGUUGUUCUAUGUCCAGUUCUAACUGUUGCUUCCUGACCUGCAUACAGGUUUCUCAAGAGGCAGGUCAGAUGGUCUGGUAUUCCCAUCUCUUUCAGAAUCUUCCACAGUUUAUUGUGAUCCACACAGUCAAAGGCUUUGGCAUAGUCAAUAAAGCAGAAAUAGAUGUUUUUCUGGAACUCUCUUGCUUUUUCCAUGAUGCAGCGGAUGUUGGCAAUUUGAUCUCUGGUUCCUCUGCCUUUUCUAAAACCAGCUUGAACAUCAGGAAGUUCACGGUUCAUGUAUUGCUGAAGCCUGGCUUGGAGAAUUUUGAGCAUUACUUUACUAGCAUGUGAGAUGAGUGCAAUUGUGCGGUAGUUUGAGCAUCUUUGGCAUUCUUUUCUAAUUAGAGUUUUCAUCUUUUCCAGAUGCAUGCCCAGAGGUGGGACUGCUGGAUCUUAUGGUAGCCCAAUCUUUAGCUUUUUAAAGAAACUUCAUGCUGUUUCACAUUGUGGUUGCACUAAUUUACAUAUCCACCAACCAUGUACAAGGGUUCUCUUUUCUCCACACCUUUGCCAGCAUUUAUUGCAAAUCUUAUCUUUUUAAUCUUCACAUUCCCCACACUCAAGCAGCUCAUGGAUCUAUUUCUCAAUAAUGUUCCAUGAGUUGAGUUGAAGGAGGCCCACGAGGAGAUGAAGAGUAGCUUAGAGGAGGGGUUGGUGGUGCUGGCAGUGGCUAUGGACAGACCCUCAGGAAGUGUCCAUGUGCCAUGGGACUCACACCAAAACAGGCUAAAAAAUCAUCUUUGCUUGUGAAAGCACAGCUUUCAGCCUCUCAGUAUGAGCAUUUCAACUUUCUAUUUCAUCUUCUCACUCCAGGAGGAAAAGGAGCCGUCUGUGUGGGUUUCCUGCUGGAUCUAUUUCAGGGCCACAUUCCUUUGGAAUUGCCUCACUUCUUGACAUACAGGGAAAUGGGAAACUCACCUAGUGAAGCAGAAACUCCCAUCUCCUGAACUUAUCAUGAAAGAGCCCUAAAUUCCCUUAGAAUUCACUUACAGAGCUUCCCAAAGUUGUGGCCCAGGGCAUUUUUGAAAAUGAAACCAGACACGGGAAGUUCACUGAAGCCCUUCAUUUUUCUAUUAGAUUUUGCAUUCCUUGGAGAUAGGAUCCAUGUUUCUGCCCAAGCUCACUAAGUCUGUGUGCUUAGUGAAUGCUUGAUCAUUCGGUUGAUGCUGUUAAGAUUUUCUGUUAUUGCCAAAUGUGCUCAGGUACUUAUUUAUGUGAUAUGACUUCAAAGACCACAGGGAAAAAAUAAAAUAAAAAGAUCAUUCAACAACUCUCA
ensembl:lncRNA